rnacentral:rRNA from 1 species
UACGUAGGUGGCUAGCGUUGUCCGGAUUUACUGGGCGUAAAGAGCGCGCAGGCGGUCGUUCAAGUCGAGUGUGAAAGCCCCCGGCUCAACUGGGGAGGGUCACUCGAUACUGAUCGACUCGAAGGCAGGAGAGGGAAGCGGAAUUCCCGGUGUGAGUGGUGAAAUGCGUAGAUAUCAGGAGGAACACCGGUGGUGUAGACGGCUCACUGGACCGUAACUGACGCUGAAACACGGAAAGCGAUGGGU